ACUCGAGUGGCGAACGGGUGAGUAACACGUGGGUGAUCUGCCCUGCACUCUGGGAUAAGCCUGGGAAACUGGGUCUAAUACCGGAUAGGACCAUGCUUUAGUGUGUGCGGUGGAAAGUUUUUCGGUGUAGGAUGAGCCCGCGGCCUAUCAGCUUGUUGGUGGGGUAAUGGCCUACCAAGGCGGCGACGGGUAGCCGGACUGAGAGGUUGGUCGGCCACAUUGGGACUGAGAUACGGCCCAG
rnacentral:rRNA from 1 species